rnacentral:rRNA from 1 species
GGUUAAGCGACUAAGCGUACACGGUGGAUGCCCUGGCAGUCAGAGGCGAUGAAGGACGUGCUAAUCUGCGAUAAGCGUCGGUAAGGUGAUAUGAACCGUUAUAACCGGCGAUUUCCGAAUGGGGAAACCCAGUGUGAUUCGUCACACUAUCAUUAACUGAAUCCAUAGGUUAAUGAGGCGAACCGGGGGAACUGAAACAUCUAAGUACCCCGAGGAAAAGAAAUCAACCGAGAUUCCCCCAGUAGCGGCGAGCGAACGGGGAGCAGCCCAGAGCCUGAAUCAGUGUGUGUGUUAGUGGAAGCGUCUGGAAAGGCGUGCGAUACAGGGUGACAGCCCCGUACACAAAAAUGCACAUACUGUGAGCUCGAUGAGUAGGGCGGGACACGUGGUAUCCUGUCUGAAUAUGGGGGGACCAUCCUCCAAGGCUAAAUACUCCUGACUGACCGAUAGUGAACCAGUACCGUGAGGGAAAGGCGAAAAGAACCCCGGCGAGGGGAGUGAAAAAGAACCUGAAACCGUGUACGUACAAGCAGUGGGAGCACGCUUAGGCGUGUGACUGCGUACCUUUUGUAUAAUGGGUCAGCGACUUAUAUUCUGUAGCAAGGUUAACCGAAUAGGGGAGCCGAAGGGAAACCGAGUCUUAACUGGGCGUUAAGUUGCAGGGUAUAGACCCGAAACCCGGUGAUCUAGCCAUGGGCAGGUUGAAGGUUGGGUAACACUAACUGGAGGACCGAACCGACUAAUGUUGAAAAAUUAGCGGAUGACUUGUGGCUGGGGGUGAAAGGCCAAUCAAACCGGGAGAUAGCUGGUUCUCCCCGAAAGCUAUUUAGGUAGCGCCUCGUGAAUUCAUCUCCGGGGGUAGAGCACUGUUUCGGCAAGGGGGUCAUCCCGACUUACCAACCCGAUGCAAACUGCGAAUACCGGAGA